CAGCAGCCGCCGCGGGAAUACGUAGGUGGCAAGCGUUGUCCGGAAUUAUUGGGCGUAAAGCGCGCGCAGGUGGUUUAAUAAGUCUGAUGUGAAAGCCCACGGCUCAACCGUGGAGGGUCAUUGGAAACUGUUAAACUUGAGUGCAGGAGAGAAAAGUGGAAUUCCUAGUGUAGCGGUGAAAUGCGUAGAGAUUAGGAGGAACACCAGUGGCGAAGGCGGCUUUUUGGCCUGUAACUGACACUGAGGCGCGAAAGCGUGGGGAGCAAACAGGAUUAGAUACCCCUGUAGUCCCUGUCUCUUAUAA
rnacentral:rRNA from 1 species